AACGAACGCUGGCGGCAUGCCUAACACAUGCAAGUCGAACGAGACCUUCGGGUCUAGUGGCGCACGGGUGAGUAACGCGUGGAAACCUGCCCUUAGGGUCGGAAUAACUCCCCGAAAUGGGGGCUAAUACCGGAUAUUGUCUUCGGGACAAAGAUUUAUCGGCGUUGGAUGGGCCCUGGUUGGUUUAGCUAGGUGGUAGGGAAAAAGCCUACCAAGGCGACGAUCCAUAGCUGGUCUGAGAGGAUGGUCAGCCACACUGGGACUGAGACACGGCCCAGACUCCUACGGGAAGCAGCAGUGGGGAAUAUUGGACAAUGGGCGAAAGCCUGAUCCAGCAAUGCCGCGUGAGUGAUGAAGGCCUUAGGGUUGUAAAGCUCUUUUACCCGGGAUGAUAAUGACAGUACCGUGAGAAUAAGCCCCGGCUAACUCCGUG
rnacentral:rRNA from 1 species